ensembl:misc_RNA Y_RNA Y RNA
GGCUGGUCCAAUGGCAGUGGGUUAUCAGAACUUAAUAACAUUAGUGUCACUAAAGUUGUUAUACAACCCCUCCCACCACCACCACCCCCGCUAAAUUUGACUAAUUUAAA